CGCCCUCCUCCUGCUGUCAAGUCUUAUACGACACGGCAACACGCUUCCGGUAUCAGCUUUCAAAGUAAAAAUCCUCAUGAGGCCCGCAAGCGCCAUCACCCCACUCUCCUCAGCCAUCGGUGGAAAGUAGCGAGGUUGCAGGUAGCUCCUCUGUUACUGGGUUGACCAGUUCUGCUUCACGCUGCAGCAGUCAACGACCUGUAAAGACCAACACGCACAGACGCUCAGAGGGGGCGCGGACGCACCACAGCUCGCAUCUCAGUUCUAUUCAUUUUAGCCUUGAUGUAUAUAUUUAAUCACACACAUUAUGGUUUGCAGUGUACAGAACCAGAAUUGUAACAAACUUGUCUGAGCAGCAAAAUUUACUUAAAAAACAAUUAAAUGCUGCUGAGUUUGGCUUGUGGUUUGCAUGGACGUUACGUCUGUCGCACAGACCCUACAGUACAUGUUUAUAUCAAAUCACGUUGAACAACUGCCCCCUGUUCCAUGGAUGUUUCGAUAGCAGUGUUUACGAAGCCAUUAACUCAUUAGUAAUUUGUUUUCUCGCUAUCUUCCUUUUUUGCUUUACUCCAACAAUUAGUUUGCUCUAUUUACUUUAUGCCUUCCAAUUAACAGUGCCAUUUCCCCCUAAACAUCACAGAAGAAAACCUCUAAUUAGAAAUGACACAGAUGAGUCCGCCACGGGUGGUAAACAGCAAUUAUUUAUUGAAAUGAAAUUAAAAAGAAUAAGUACCAGAUCUAUUGCAUUAUUGUAACAUUUCGUCUCUGCAAGGGAAGCGGGGAGAGUUACUCUACAUUGUUUGAACACAAAUAUACAGGGAACAUUCAGAUAUCACAGAUUGCACACCAGACACUUGUAAUGCAGUCUAAUACAAGACCACCAAAAUAAUCCAGGAGUUUUUCUCUUUUCUUCUCCUCUCAUUAGUUAAUUUUUUUUUCAGUAAAGAGUACAAAAGUCCACCCACAGCCGGGGACACGAUCUCUGGCUCUGUACACAAACCUGCAGCUCAGGACAACUCAUCAGGACAAUGCCUCAAUAAAAACGCAAGGUAAGAAAAUCAACACGAUAAAGGAAAACGAAACGACAAAAUAAUGCCAAGAACAUGUACAAUGCACUGACACAGAAAGUCAGCUGUGUUAAUAGACAUGCAACAAGUAACAAAACUUGCUGAAAUUGCGAUAAUCAUUAAAAAAAAUCUAAAA